rnacentral:tRNA from 1 species
UCCCCGAUAGCUCAGUUGGUAGAGCAGACGGCUGUUAACCGUCUUGUCCUAGGUUCGAGUCCUAGUCGGGGAGCUA